rnacentral:rRNA from 1 species
CCUACGGGAGGCAGCAGUGAGGAAUAUUGGUCAAUGGGCGGAAGCCUGAACCAGCCAAGUCGCGUGAGGGAAUAAGGCCCUACGGGUCGUAAACCUCUUUUGCCGGGGAGCAAGGGCGGGGACGUGUCCCGGCCCGGAGAGUACCCGGAGAAAAAGCAUCGGCUAACUCCGUGACAGCAGCCGCGGUAAUACGGAGGAUGCGAGCGUUAUCCGGAUUUAUUGGGUUUAAAGGGUGCGUAGGCGGGCUUUUAAGUCAGCGGUAAAAAUUCGGGGCUCAACCCCGUCCGGCCGUUGAAACUGGGGGCCGUGAGUGGGCGAGAAGAGGGCGGAAUGCGUGGUGUAGCGGUGAAAUGCAUAGAUAUCACGCAGAACCGCGAUUGCGAAGGCAGCCUUCCGGCGCCCUCCUGACGCUGGGGCACGAAAGUGCGGGGAUCGAACAGGAUUAGAUACCCCUGUAGUC